rnacentral:rRNA from 1 species
GUUUGGCACCUCGAUGUCGGCUCAUCACGUCCUGGGGCUUGGAGCAGGUCCCAAGGGUUCGGCUGUCCGCCGAUUAAAGUGGUACGCGAGCUGGGUUCAGAACGUCGCGAGACAGUUCGGUCCCUAUCUGUCGUGGGCGCAGGAUAUUUGAGAGGAGCUGUCCUUAGUACGAGAGGACCGGGAUGGACAUACCACCGGUGCACCAGUUGUUCCGCCAGGGGCAUAGCUGGGUAGCCGCGUAUGGAUGGGAUAAACGCUGAAGGCAUCUAAGCGUGAAGCCCACCUCAAGAUUAGAUAUCCCAUAGCGUAAGCUAGUAAGGUCACUUGUAGACUACAAGUUUGAUAGGUCGGAGGUGUAAGUGGAGAGAUCCAUUCAGCUGACCGAUACUAAUAGACCGAGGGCUUGAACUAUA